rnacentral:tRNA from 1 species
AUCGAUGUAGCCCAACGGAAGAGCCCCCGAAAGCAAAGGUGGUGGUUCGAUUCCACCCAUCGAUA